AGUUUGCUUAGUAAUAAAAAAUUUCAGUCUGUGUUUAUAUAUACUUGGGGUAUUUGCCUAUUUAUAGGCCGAAUGAGGAGCACCCUUACUGCUAGGGUUUCGUGUUCUUUGACCUAGGAGCGCUGUUAGAGUCUGACAUAGACUCGAACUCUUUUAUCUUCGAAUAUUGGGAUUCUUUCCUCAACUGUCCUGAGAUUCUUGGCAGCGAAUUCGGGAUUAGCUUCAAUCUCGGAUUUCUAGGAACUGGGUGCGAUCCCAAGAGAUCCGGACCGUGACUCUUAUCUCAAUUCAACUUCAAGUAGGAUUCUAAUUUGGAUUUUCUGGGAUGCGGUUGAUACCUGAGUUCCUAGUACAUGCUUGUCCUGGGCCUUGGCUGACUAAAUUGAAUCUUGGUCCCGGGAUGUCUGCAUUCCCGAGACUCAAUUAGGAUGUACUUCCUGUCGCAUAUGACUUUCCUGAGGAUAAUAACUCGGUGUCUAUUUCUUAGGAUGGGACUAUCCUGGAGUCCUGUUGUCUCGGCUUUAUAACCGGCAAUUCUUAUUGGGCCGAUACUAACCUGAAGGAUGCUUGUCUUGGGCCUUGGCUGACUAAAUUGAAUCUUGGUCCCGGGAUGUCUGCAUUCCCGAGACUCAAUUUGGAUGUACUUCCUGUCGCGUAUAACUUUCCUGAGGAUAAUAACUCGGUGUCUAUUUCUUAGGAUGGGACUAUCCUGGAGUCCUGUUGUCUCGGCUUUAUAACCGGCAAUUCUUAUUGGGCCGAUACUGACCUGAAGGCUAUGAUUCUCUGGAUGAGCCAAUCUGAGUGGAAUUAUUCCCAACAGAAGUGAACUUUGAAAAUUGAAAGAUGGACAGGAUUCAUAAAGCUGUAAACCAAAAUCCUCCUAUCUUUUAAUCUUGCUGGCUAUGACCCAAAAUCUUUAGCUUAUUUAUUUAUUUAUUAAAAUUUUAAAGGGUUGCAUAGAGACAAUGUAGUUAUAAUUAUAUAUAGCAAAUGCUUGAGGACUUGUUACUAUCAAGAAAGAAAAGCACAUUUAUUAAAAAUAACCUUAAAUGCCAUUUUAGUUUGGCAUAAGCGAAGAAAAAGCAAAGAUGGCGAGGACUCUUAAGUCUCCACAUAUUCUAAUUUUCAUCAUUUUCAUUAUCUUCACAACAACGGAAGGCUUUGAGGUAUUCUGUGAGCGAGAUAGCCGAACGUACGGUUGGCCAUGCUUUUGGGCAUCGAGUUGUGAUAAUCAUUGUAAGAAACAUGAGAAAGCCUUGUUUGGAAAAUGUAAGGGCCGUCACUUCAGCUUUAGCAAAUGUGUAUGCUUUUUUUACUUUUGUUGAAUUCAUACAACCGAAGAGAUGCAUGAGUUGAGCGUAUUGAUUACAAUGUUUUGUACUAGUAUUUGAUUUUAUAUUAAAAUUUUACAGUAUAAA